UGGCCCAAUGGCAAGGCGCUUGACUACGAAUCAAGAGAUUGCAGGUUCGAUCCCUNN
rnacentral:tRNA from 1 species